GACGAACGCUGGCGGCGCGCUUAACACAUGCAAGUCGAACGGAAAGGCCUGCUUUCCCUUGUGGAUUGCGGGUACUCGAGUGGCGAACGGGUGAGUAACACGUGAGUGAUCUGCCCCCAACUUGGGUAUAAGCCUGGGAAACUGGGUCUAAUUCCCGAUAGGACUGCAGGGUGGUGCCUGUGGUGGAAAACGAUUUUCUAGUGGUUGGGGAUGAGCUCGCGGCCUAUCAGCUUGUUGGUGGGGUAAUGGCCUACCAAGGCGGCGACGGGUAGCCGGCCUGAGAGGGUGGACGGCCACAUUGGGACUGAGAUACGGCCCAGACUCCUACGGCAGGCAGCAGUGGGGAAUAUUGCACAAUGGGCGGAAGCCUGAUGCAGCGACGCCGCGUGGGGGAUGACGGCCUUCGGGUUGUAAACUCCUUUCGACCGCGAGGAAGCCACCUGGUUGGAAGGGUGGUGACGGUAGUGGUAGAAGAAGCACCGGCUAACUACGUG
rnacentral:rRNA from 1 species